rnacentral:rRNA from 1 species
UACGGAGGGUGCAAGCAUUAAUCGGAUUUAUUGGGCGUAAAGGGCGCGUAGGCGGUAAGAUAAGUCAGAUGUGAAAUCCUGGAGCUCAACCUCAGAACAGCAUUUGAAACUAUCUUUCUAGAGGGUAGGCGGAGAAAACGGAAUUCCACAAGUAGCGGUGAAAUGCGUAGAUAUGUGGAAGAACACCGGUGGCGAAGGCGGUUUUCUAGCUUAUUCCUGACGCUGAGGCGCGAGAGCAAGGGGAUCAAACAG